GAGUGAAGCGGCAAGAGCUCAAAUUUGAAAUCUGGCCCCUCUGGGGUCCGAGUUGUAAUUUGCAGAGGAUGCUUCGGGUGCGGUCCCCGUCUAAGUGCCCUGGAACGGGCCGUCAUAGAGGGUGAGAAUCCCGUCUGGGAUGGGCGGCCGCGCCCGUGUGAAGCUCCUUCGACGAGUCGAGUUGUUUGGGAAUGCAGCUCUAAGCGGGUGGUAAAUUUCAUCUAAAGCUAAAUACUGGCCGGAGACCGAUAGCGCACAAGUAGAGUGAUCGAAAGAUGAAAAGCACUUUGAAAAGAGAGUUAAAUAGCACGUGAAAUUGUUGAAAGGGAAGCGUUGUCCACCAGAGUCGCCCGGGGGGGCUCAGCCGGCACGUGUGCCGGUGUACUCCUCUCCGGGCGGGCCAGCAUCGGUUUGGGCGGCUGGUGAAAGGCCCCGGGAAUGUACCACCCUCCGGGGUGCCUUAUAGCCCGGGGUGCCAUGCAGCCAGCCUGGACCGAGGCCCGCGCUUCGGCGAGGAUGCUGGCGUAAUGGUG
rnacentral:rRNA from 1 species